rnacentral:rRNA from 1 species
GAUAAACCCUGGCGGCUUGCCUAUUACUUGCAAUUCAACCAAACGAACAAAAACCUUGCUUCUCUAAUGUUACCGCCGAACGGUUAAUUACCCCUUGAAUAACCUACCUAUAAAACUGGAAUACCUUCGGGAAACCGAACCUAAUACCGAAUAAUAUUUUAAACCCCAGGGUUCAAAAUUGAAAAACGGCCUUGCUGUCCCUUAUAAAUGGAUCCCCCCUCCUUUACCUAUUUGGUAAGGUAACGGCUUACCAAGGCACCAAUCCUUACCCAACCUGAAAGGGUGAUCGGCCCCCCUGAAACUAAAACCCGGCCCAAACUCCUACGGAAGGCACCAUUAGGAAACCUUCCCCAUUGGGCAAAACCCUGACGAACCACCCCCCCUUGAUUGAUAAAGGCCUUCGAAUCGUAAAACUCUGUUAUUAGGAAAAACCUUUUGUGUAAUUAACUGUCCCCUUCUUGACGGUCCCUAAUCAAAAACCCCCGGUUAACUACUUGCCACCACCCCCGGUAUUACUUAGGUGGCAACCCUUAUCCGAAAUUAUUGGCCGUAAGCGCGCGUAGGCGGUUUUUUAGUCUGAUGUGAAAGCCCACGGCUCACCCGUGGAGGGUCAUUGGAAACUGGAAAACUUGAGUGCAGAAGAGGAAAGUGGAAUUCCAUGUGUAGCGGUGAAAUGCGCAGAGAUAUGGAGGAACACCAGUGGCGAAGGCGACUUUCUGGUCUGUAACUGACGCUGAUGUGCGAAAGCGUGGGGAUCAAACAGGAUUAGAUACCCUGGUAGUCCACGCCGUAAACGAUGAGUGCUAAGUGUUAGGGGGUUUCCGCCCCUUAGUGCUGCAGCUAACGCAUUAAGCACUCCGCCUGGGGAGUACGACCGCAAGGUUGAAACUCAAAGGAAUUGACGGGGACCCGCACAAGCGGUGGAGCAUGUGGUUUAAUUCGAAGCAACGCGAAGAACCUUACCAAAUCUUGACAUCCUUUGACAACUCUAGAGAUAGAGCUUUCCCCUUCGGGGGACAAAGUGACAGGUGGUGCAUGGUUGUCGUCAGCUCGUGUCGUGAGAUGUUGGGUUAAGUCCCGCAACGAGCGCAACCCUUAAGCUUAGUUGCCAUCAUUAAGUUGGGCACUCUAAGUUGACUGCCGGUGACAAACCGGAGGAAGGUGGGGAUGACGUCAAAUCAUCAUGCCCCUUAUGAUUUGGGCUACACACGUGCUACAAUGGACAAUACAAAGGGCAGCGAAACCGCGAGGUCAAGCAAAUCCCAUAAAGUUGUUCUCAGUUCGGAUUGUAGUCUGCAACUCGACUACAUGAAGCUGGAAUCGCUAGUAAUCGUAGAUCAGCAUGCUACGGUGAAUACGUUCCCGGGUCU